AAUGGCGUGCGAUCCGCAUA
rnacentral:rRNA from 1 species